rnacentral:rRNA from 1 species
UACGUAGGGGGCUAGCGUUGUCCGGAAUCAUUGGGCGUAAAGAGCGCGUAGGCGGCCAGAUAAGUCCGGUGUGAAAGUCACAGGCUCAACCUGUGAAUGCCGCUGGAAACUGUCUGGCUAGAGUCCGGGAGGGGCGAGUGGAAUUCCUGGUGUAGCGGUGAAAUGCGCAGAUAUCAGGAGGAACACCAAUAGCGAAGGCAGCUCGCUGGGACGGUACUGACGCUAAGGCGCGAAAGCGUGGGGAGCGAACAGG